rnacentral:lncRNA from 1 species
AUGUGCGUGCGUGCGUGUGUGUAUAUGUGUGUGUGUGUGUGUGUGUGUGUAUACUCAACUAUAGCACUUGAUUUCCCUUUUUUCUUCUUUUCACCUUUGAAAAUGGAAAUACUGCAUUAUGACUGUUGUCUAUCAUUUGUGGUGGUUUCAUGGCCCUGGAUGGAGGCCCCAACCAAGAAGCAUCAUGAGGGGAAGGCCUCCAGGGGUACCAUUUCUGCAGUUUCAGAUCCCUGGAGUAUGUGCGUGUGUGUGUGUAUGUGUGUAUCUCUCGGGUGCAUUUUGUGUACACUUGUGUCAAUAAGUACCUGGAUGCAGGCAUGCGUGUACUAUUCAAGACUUCCUUGCUAGCAACACGGGUCAGCUUCUGCAACACAUCAUGCGUGAGAGUGCCCAGUGGGUGUGUGGGUGUGCUGGGAGACCAAGGGGGAGGAAAUGCGGUGAGCUCCUAAUUGCACGUCUAAGGAUUAGUUUUCAAACAAAGGAUUUAUUUUAUGAGAAGGGAGGUCAUUUUCAGAAAAACCCGGUGUUUUGAUUGUAUAGGGGAAUUUUUGGUUUUUUUUUUAAGAAUUUUCUUUGAAAAGUUUGAUUUUCCCCUUCAGGGGAUGGGCAUACUUGGGUUCCAGAAAAAGUCAGGAGAAGUAUCUCAGAUUGAGAGGCCAGGUGUCUUCCUUCCAAGCGUCUUGACCGGGCUCUGCCUUGCCAGGAGAAUUGGGUAUUCACGGGGUGGAGGAGGGCAUGUCUGUGACCAGAUCCAAAUUUUAGCUGUUUCCCAGUUACAGGCAAAUGAGGAAAGAAACUCCAAAUGGGGCAAUUUGCUAUCAGUCAUUUAAACUCGUCUUAAGGAACUUUUCUUAAGGAACCAGUACUGCUCACCAACGUAUGAUACAUACCCUCUUUUAAAAUCCCGUGCUUGCUAUAAAUAGAUCAUACGCUGUCUCCAGUCUAAAUCAUAGACCUUGAACACAGCCUGUCGCAUCCCUUUGAAAUGUCCCUGAAAUGUUAGGAGGACUCCUAGGAAAGAAGUAAACCGCUUGGACUCACCUCACUAUUGUCAGAUCAAGAGCUUGGAGUUUUGUCUUGUUAGUGGGAUCAGGAAGGCGCGCAUGCGUGCACGCACGCACACAGACACGCACCCUGGGUCCGAGACUGCUCUGGGCGAAUAAAAGCCCAGCCGCACGGUCGAGGUGGAAGCUC